UGGGGAAUAUUGCACAAUGGAGGGAACUCUGAUGCAGCGACGCCGCGUGAACGAAGAAGGCUUUCGAGUCGUAAAGUUCUUUUAUAUGGGAAGAUAAUGACGGUACCAUAAGAAAAAGCCCCGGCUAACUACGUGCCAGCAGCCGCGGUAAUACGUAGGGGGCUAGCGUUGUCCGGAAUCACUGGGCGUAAAGGGUUCGCAGGCGGAAAUGCAAGUCAGGUGUAAAAGGCAGUAGCUUAACUACUGUAAGCAUUUGAAACUGCAUAUCUUGAGAAGAGUAGAGGUAAGUGGAAUUUUUAGUGUAGCGGUGAAAUGCGUAGAUAUAUGGAGGAACACCGGUGGCGAAAGCGGCUCUCUGGUCUGUAACUGACGCUGAGGCUCGAAAGCGUGGGGAGCGAACAGG
rnacentral:rRNA from 1 species